UACGUAGGGGGCGAGCGUUGUCCGGAUUUAUUGGGCGUAAAGAGCUUGUAGGCGGUUUGUCGCGUCGUCCGUGAAAACCAGUGGCUUAACCAUUGGCUUGCGGGCGAUACGGGCAGACUUGAGUAUUGCAGGGGAGACUGGAAUUCCUGGUGUAGCGGUGAAAUGCGCAGAUAUCAGGAGGAACACCGGUGGCGAAGGCGGGUCUCUGGGCAGUAACUGACGCUGAGAAGCGAAAGCGUGGGUAGCGAACAGG
rnacentral:rRNA from 1 species